rnacentral:rRNA from 1 species
AUUGCACGCUGGCGGCAUGCUUUACACAUGCAAGUCGAACGGCAGCGCGGGGGCAACCCUGGCGGCGAGUGGCGAACGGGUGAGUAAUGCAUCGGAACGUAUCCUGUAAUGGGGGAUAACGUAGCGAAAGUUACGCUAAUACCGCAUACGCUCGAGAGAGGAAAGUGGGGGAUCGCAAGACCUCACGUUAUAGGAGCGGCCGAUGUCCGAUUAGCUAGUUGGUGGGGUAAAGGCCUACCAAGGCGACGAUCGGUAGCUGGUCUGAGAGGAUGAUCAGCCACACUGGGACUGAGACACGGCCCAGACUCCUACGGAGGCAGCAGUGGGGAAUUUUGGACAAUGGGCGAAAGCCUGAUCCAGCCAUGCCGCGUGCGGGAAGAAGGCCUCGGUUGUAACGACUUAGUCGGAAACGGGUAGCGAGGAGUAAUACCCUACCGUGCUUGUAUGGUACU